rnacentral:rRNA from 1 species
UCCUACGGGAGGCAGCAGUGAGGAAUAUUGGUCAAUGGAGGCAACUCUGAACCAGCCAAGUAGCGUGCAGGACGACGGCCCUAUGGGUUGUAAACUGCUUUUAUACAGGGAUAAAGUGGGGUAUGCAUACCCCAUUGCAGGUACUGUAUGAAUAAGGACCGGCUAAUUCCGUGCCAGCAGCCGCGGUAAUACGGAAGGUCCGGGCGUUAUCCGGAUUUAUUGGGUUUAAAGGGAGCGCAGGCGGGAUAUUAAGCGUGACGUGAAAUGUAGGCGCUCAACGUCUGCACUGCGUCGCGAACUGGUAUUCUUGAGUGGGUUCGAUGUAGGCGGAAUUCGUGGUGUAGCGGUGAAAUGCUUAGAUAUCACGAAGAACUCCGAUUGCGAAGGCAGCCUACAAGGCCUUUACUGACGCUAAAGCUCGAAGGUGCGGGUAUCGAACAGGAUUAGAUACCCUGGUAGUCC